CGGGCUCAACCUGGGAACUGCAUUCGAAACUGGCAGGCUAGAGUCUUGUAGAGGGGGGUAGAAUUCCAGGUGUAGCGGUGAAAUGCGUAGAGAUCUGGAGGAAUACCGGUGGCGAAGGCGGCCCCCUGGACAAAGACUGACGCUCAGGUGCGAAAGCGUGGGGAGCAAACAGGAUUAGAUACCCUGGUAGUCCACGCCGUAAACGAUGUCGAUUUGGAGGUUGUGCCCUUGAGGCGUGGCUUCCGGAGCUAACGCGUUAAAUCGACCGCCUGGGGAGUACGGCCGCAAGGUUAAAACUCAAAUGAAUUGACGGGGGCCCGCACAAGCGGUGGAGCAUGUGGUUUAAUUCGAUGCAACGCGAAGAACCUUACCUGGUCUUGACAUCCACAGAACUUUCCAGAGAUGGAUUGGUGCCUUCGGGAACUGUGAGACAGGUGCUGCAUGGCUGUCGUCAGCUCGUGUUGUGAAAUGUUGGGUUAAGUCCCGCAACGAGCGCAACCCUUAUCCUUUGUUGCCAGCGGUUCGGCCGGGAACUCAAAGGAGACUGCCAGUGAUAAACUGGAGGAAGGUGGGGAUGACGUCAAGUCAUCAUGGCCCUUACGACCAGGGCUACACACGUGCUACAAUGGCAUAUACAAAGAGAAGCGACCUCGCGAGAGCAAGCGGACCUCAUAAAGUAUGUCGUAGUCCGGAUUGGAGUCUGCAACUCGACUCCAUGAAGUCGGAAUCGCUAGUAAUCGUAGAUCAGAAUGCUACGGUGAAUACGUUCCCGGGCCUUGUACACACCGCCCGUCACACCAUGGGAGUGGGUUGCAAAAGAAGUAGGUAGCUUAACCUUCGGGAGGGCGCUUACCACUUUGUGAUUCAUGACUGGGGUGAAGUCGUAACAAGGUAACCGUAGGGGAACCUGCGGUUGGAUCACC
rnacentral:rRNA from 1 species